rnacentral:rRNA from 1 species
CAGAGGGUGCAAGCGUUAAUCGGAUUUACUGGGCGUAAAGCGUGUGUAGGUGGUUGGGAAAGUCAAUUGUGAAAUCCCCGGGCUUAACUCGGGAACUGCUUUUGAUACUGUCUGACUAGAAUUCGGUAGAGGGAGGCGGAACUCCAGGUGUAGCGGUGAAAUGCGUAGAUAUCUGGAAGAACACCAAUGGCGAAGGCAACCUCCUGGGCCUGAAUUGACACUGAGACACGAAAGCGUGGGGAUCAAACAGGAUUAGAUACCCUGGUAGUCCACGCCGUAAACGAUGACAACUUGACGUCGGUUUGCUCUGCGAAUCGGUGUCGUAGCUAACGCGAUAAGUUGUCCGCCUGGGGAGUACGGCCGCAAGGUU